rnacentral:rRNA from 1 species
GGAACAGGGAGUCAUGGAGGGUGAGAACCCCGUCUGUGACUCGGAAACAAGCUCAGAGAAGUGUCGCGGUCUCCAAGAGUCGGGUUGUUUGGGAAUGCAGCUCAAAAUGGGUGGUAAAUGUCAUCUAAAGCUAAAUAUUGGCGAGAGACCGAUAGCAAACAAGUAGAGUGAUCGAAAGAUGAAAAGCACUUUGAAAAGAGAGUGAAACAGUACGUGAAAUUGUUGAAAGGGAAGCGUUUGGCAUCAGCCCAUGGCCUCCGACGAUCAUCCGGGCCUUGUGUCCGGUGCACUUGUCGGGGGUCGGGCCAGCAUCGGCUUCGUCCGUCGGAGAAAGGUCCAGAGGAUGUGGCUCCCUCACGGGAGCGUUAUAACUCUGGGCGUCAUACGACGUGACGGGGCCGAGGUCCACGGUGUUCUCACCCAGGAUGCUGGCGUAAUGGUUCCAAGCGACCCGUCUUGAAACACGGACCAAGGAGUCUAACAUCUAUGCGAGUGUUUGGGUGUCAAGCCCGUCCGCGCAAUGAAAGUGAAUGCAGGCGGGAGCCUUUAGAGGGUGCACC